rnacentral:misc_RNA from 1 species
AACGCACCUUGCGCCCUUUGGUAUUCCGAAGGGCAUGCCUGUUUGAGUGUCAUUAAAUUCUCAACUUCAAAAUGCUUUGCUGCAUUUUUUUGAAGCUUGGACUUUGGAGGAUUGCCGGCAUUGACUUGUCAGCUCCUCUUAAAUGCAUUAGCGGAACUUCUAUUAAGGACCAGCUUUGGUUUGAUAAUCCUAUCUAUGCCGUCGCUGUGGACUUUGCUUGUUCAGCUUCUAAUGGUCUUCGGACUGUCUCUUUGUGAGGCAUACACUUUUAAGCUUGACCUCAAAUCAGGUAGGACUACCCGCUGAACUUAA